CCGGUCAGGACUGUAAACAGCAGGUCUCGUCUGUUCUCACUCAUUCUCAGCAAAGAUGACUGCAAACGCUCUGAUUAUCUGCUCUCUACUGCUUUCUCUCGCUGGUUGUUUUGCUGAGAUCAUUCUGACUCAGAGUCCAUCCGUGAAUCUGGCGUCUGUGGGAAGCAGCGUCACUCUCAACUGCGGGUCCAGCAGUUCUAGUUUAACAGCCCAUUUAGCCUGGUAUCACCAGAGACCCGGACAAACACCCAAACUCCUGUUUUAUAGUGUUGGUAGCAAAGUGUCUGAAGUUUCUGAGAGAUUCACUGAUGGGAGAUCAGGAACAAACUUCAUGCUCAAUAUUAGAAAUGUCCAGCCUGAAGAUGCAGGAGAUUAUUACUGUCAGCAGUAUUAUGAAUUACCAUUAACACAGUGAUACACAGCCGUACAAAAACCCCUUCAGUGAAAGAGGAACUGCUGAUUUAGACACACACUGCACACAUAAUACACUCAGUAGGAGCCGGUUUUUAAAGUUCUGAACAGAAAAACUAAAUCUGGGGCCAGAUUCACA